rnacentral:rRNA from 1 species
AACGAACGCUGGCGGCGUGCCUAACACAUGCAAGUCGAACGAGACCUUCGGGUCUAGUGGCGCACGGGUGCGUAACGCGUGGGAACCUGCCCUUAGGUUCGGAAUAACUCCCCGAAAGGGGUGCUAAUACCGGAUAAUGUCUUCGGACCAAAGAUUUAUCGCCUUUGGAUGGGCCCGCGUUGGAUUAGCUAGUUGGUAGGGUAAAAGCCUACCAAGGCGACGAUCCAUAGCUGGUCUGAGAGGAUGAUCAGCCACACUGGGACUGAGACACGGCCCAGACUCCUACGGGAGGCAGCAGUGGGGAAUAUUGGACAAUGGGCGAAAGCCUGAUCCAGCAGUGCCGCGUGAGUGAUGAAGGCCUUAGGGUUGUAAAGCUCUUUUACCCGGGAUGAUAAUGACAGUACCGGGAGAAUAAGCGCCGGCUAACUCCGUG